rnacentral:lncRNA from 1 species
AAUUGGCAAACAUUUUCUCUAAAGCUCAACACAGUAAAUAUUUUAAGCUUUACAGGGCCAUACCAAACAGGUGCUGGACCAGACCUGGACUCCCUGGGGCCACAGAGCUUCAUUUGAACUAAGUAGAAGACUACUCUGGUUAGGGAGGCAAUCGGUAAAGAAAAUGAAGCAUCCAUCUAGCAUCAUCCCACUGGGAGGAAAGAAGGAGAGCAAAAGAAGGUAAACAAUAGCAAAAAAAUCUCUGAAGGAGUAAAUCAAGAUGGAGUUGAUGGAUAAGGAGGAACAAAACUACUCCAAUUAUCUGGAACUUACACUAAAUGAAAAGCAAGUCUCCAAGAUAGAAGCUGAGCAUGACAAACAAAUGCUGACAAUAUCAGGUAGUGCUUCAGUUCAACUAUGAGGGAUUCUUUCUCCCACAACUUCCCUACUCCAGGAACUUGGAAAGUGGAUCAUCUCUGACAGCUAAAUUCCAAAACAAACACUUAGCAGAUUGGAACAUAAUUA